rnacentral:rRNA from 1 species
UAAUACGUAGGGACCAAGCGUUGUUCGGAUUUACUGGGCGUAAAGGGCGCGUAGGCGGCUUGACAAGUCACUUGUGAAAUCUCCGGGCUUAACUCGGAACGGCCAAGUGAAACUGUCAUGCUAGAGUGCAGAAGGGGCAAUCGGAAUUCUUGGUGUAGCGGUGAAAUGCGUAGAUAUCAAGAGGAACACCUGAGGUGAAGACGGGUUGCUGGGCUGACACUGACGCUGAGGCGCGAAAGCCAGGGGAGCAAACGGGAUUAGAUACCCCGGUAGUCCUGGCCCUAAACGAUGAAUGCUUGGUGUGGCGGGUAUCGAUCCCUGCCGUGCCGAAGCUAACGCAUUAAGCAUUCCGCCUGGGGAGUACGGUCGCAAGGCUG